UACGUAGGGGGCUAGCGUUGUCCGGAUUUACUGGGCGUAAAGGGUGAGUAGGCGGUUGCAUAUGUCAGAUGUAAAAGGCACAGGCUUAACUUGUGUUAGCAUUUGAAACUGUGCGACUUGAGUGCAGGAGAGGUAAGUGGAAUUCCUAGUGUAGCGGUGAAAUGCGUAGAUAUUAGGAGGAACACCAGUGGCGAAGGCGACUUACUGGACUGUAACUGACGCUGAGUCACGAAAGCGUGGGUAGCAAACAGGAUUAGAUACCCUGGUAGUCCACGCUGUAAACGAUGAGUGCUAGGUGUUGGGUAGCGAUACUCAGUGCCGAAGUUAACACAAUAAGCACUCCGCCUGGGGAGUACGGUCGCAAGACUGAA
rnacentral:rRNA from 1 species